rnacentral:lncRNA from 1 species
UUUUAAUGAAGUUCAAUUUAUCCUUCCCUUAAUAGUUUGUGCUUUUUUUUAACCUGUUAAAGAUAUGCUUUCAUCUCAAUUCAUGAAGAUAUACAUGUAUGCAAUUAUUGUAGAAGUUCUAUUAUUUUACCUUUCAUAUUUAGGUCUAAAAUCCAAACAGAAGACUUACAGCUUCCACUCUGAUGUACAAAGAACAUGAAAGUUAUCAAUCCUCUUUGUGACAAGAAGAAAGUUGAGCAAAUUGAAAACCAACAAUCCUUAUUAGAUCCACCAGAGAAUUGCAAUCAUAUAACAAAUAAUUGUAUCAAAAACUGGAGAGACAGGAAAAUACAGAGAAUCACUUCUUAAAAGGAAGAGAAGUACUGCUGUCUGGAGGUAGUACUCAUAGAACCACUUAAGCUGCAAUUGAUGAAUUGCUGGAGUCUUCAUCUGAACCAGCCUGAACCUUAAAAAGUCCAAUGGUUCCAGGCUUAGGGAGGCCCUACAGUUUUAUAAGUUCUAUCUUCAGGAAACCCACCAGGUUGUCACAGUCAGGAUCUUGCUUCCAGCAAGAAAAAGAAAAAGAUAAUAACUUUGAGCUGUCCAUAUGGGAAAAGUACUCAUUUGGAUAUAUAUUCUCAGAGUCUUCUAUUCUUCCUUCUGUUUUCUGUGACAAAGGUCAACCUCAAGGGAAACCACUUUUUCAAAGACUUUUAUAUGACCUUAGGAAAUACAAGUACCCAAUUCCAGCUCCCUCUAGUCUUUUGGUCUCAUGGAAGAGGAGAAGAACUUUCUCACAAGAUAAUGUAACAGAAUAUCCAAGAUCUGUGGUACUUUAAUGAGGAUUCCAGAAAAAUGAAAGAAAUGGGAAAAUAAAAUAUGUGAAGUCAUAAUAGCUCAGAAUUUUUCACAAUUAAUGAGAGAUAUAUCAAAAUUUAAGUUGUAGGAAACUAAGAGAAUAUUAAGUUAGAUAAAUACUGAAAACUCCACACAUAGGCAUAUGAUAUCCCAACUGCACAAAAGUAAAGACAAAGAAAAAAUAUCAGAAAAAAAAUCAGAAGGGGGGAAAAUCACUUUACUUACAUAAGAACAAAGAUAAGACUUACACAGGAACUCUUCAGAAACCAUGCAAGCAAAAAGAGUGGAGUGGAAUACUGAAAGUGUACCCCCACCCAGAAAAAUCACCAACCUAUGUAUUUCUAUAUCCACUGAAAUUAUCCCUCAAAAUUGAAGAAAAAAUAAAACUUUCUCAAACGACCAAGGAAACUGUCAGCAGUAUACUUGCUUUACAAAACAUUUUUUUGUUUGUUUUUUAAAAACUGCAUGGUACUGGCAUAAAAACAGACACAAACCAAUGGUACAGAAUAGAAGAUACAGAGACAAACUCACACAUAUGCAGUUAUCUGAUCCUUGACAAAGGUGCCAAAAACAUACAUUGGAGAAAAGAAAGCCUUUUUAACAAAUGGUGCUGGGAAAACUGGUUAUCCAUAUGUAGGUGAAUGAAAUUAGUCCCUUACUUCUCACCCUGCACAGGGUCAACACUCCAGCUUUUAGGUACAGGUAAUUACAUUCUCAGAAGAACUCCUGAAGCUCAGACAAUAGUGCCAAGAAUUAAAUGGAACAGCAUCAAAUUCAAAAGCUUUUGCACAGCAAAGUAAACAAUUAGGAAUGUGAAGAGAAAACCCACAGAAUGGGAAAAAUCUUUGCUACCUACUCUUCUGACAUAGGAUUA